UCGGGCCCGGCCCUGCUGAGGCGAGGCCCGGCGCGCACAGCCCAGCCCCGGGCCCGUGUCCCGGCCCCGCCGUGGCCGCCAGUCCCUGGCCCGCCCGAGGCCGGGCUCACACCCACCCUGGAGCCCCGGGCUGGCCUGGCCGUGGCCAAGUGACCGCAGGUCCCACCUGGGGGAAGGGCCCAGGAAGGCCAAAGGCUAUUUAAACCAAAUUCUGUGGCAAGCACACGUCCUGACCCUACCUCCUCUUGGAAAUUCUAUCGGCUGAACACCACUGGAACCAGCACUGGAUGACAGCAAAGGAUGCCAAGAGACUGAUAUGGGUGAAUCAAGAGCUGCUGGUCAGACUUAAGCAUAAGAAGCAAAUGAACGGUCUGUCCUUCAUUAAUUCCAAGUGAUGAGUGAAGUUAAUGGGAAGUUUUCUUCCCACUGAGGUGCAGAUUUAAUGGAUGCUUAAGAACACAGAGGAAGCCUGUCUCAAACUGAAAGCAAAGGGAAUAUGCAUAGGCUCUUUGAAAGGAUCAACAGUGAAUAAGUGUCCAUUUGCAUCAGCUGGCUCCACUGGAAAUAAAUGUUUGAUGAAAUGUCUUGAGAAGAUCUCAUGGCACUCAGAGGAGUUGCUUGUUUACUGUGUGAAUGUUGAACAGGCUAAAUGCCAUGAUGUGGGCAGAGGAAUUGAACUUCCUUUUUAAAAGAAAGAGAACAUUCUCUGUUCAUCUGGUGAUGCCUGACGAGCUACAAAUUUGGAGUAGACAGAAGAUACACAGGAGAUAAACGUCAACGAACAUAACUCAAAUCAUCACCCCUUGGAGAGGUUACAGACACCAGGUCUGGAAAAAGAUUGAUAAGAGAACCAAAGAAUGAGGACCAAAGUAGCAUUGAAGGCAAAGUGAACAAUAACCAAUAGGAAACUGAAUACUACGAACUGUGUAAUUUAAGACGAAUGUUUGAGAAGUUCUUUGGGUUUUGUCUGUAUACGUAUGUGAAAAGUCUGGUAAAGAACCAUGUGUGAUGGAAUAAUUUUCACUGCACAUCCCAGACAUGUGUAGAUGAAAUUAUUUCUAUUGUGCAUCCUAGCCAGAAUAAAGUGAUCCUUGAUCCUCUAACAUGAAAAUAUGUUGUUGGAGCAUUUCUGUUUUUCACACAUUUUGGUGACAGCUUGAUUGAAAGAGGCUUUGUUGGUGGGUGUCAGCUCUCUUACUGUCUGUGCUGAAUCCGGUUGAGAUAGAUCUAAUGUUCUAUGUGGUAACUCAUAAUGUGCUGCUUCUUUAUUUCCUUAUUUGGUAAAACUGUGUUGAUACACCAGUGUUUUGUCUGUUGCUAAAAAAUACCUGAACACCUUCAAGGUAUUCUGUUUUUUGUCCCCUGUUCCCAAAUUGAGCAGCCUUAGGAAGGUCAAGAAAUUGAGAGAAGACACAGCCACAACAUCUGAUCAGAUCUGACCAAAGCGAUAUCUUAUACCAUAAUUUGUCGUGUUCAGCAACAAAAGU